rnacentral:rRNA from 1 species
UACAGAGGUCUCAAGCGUUGUUCGGAUUCAUUGGGCGUAAAGGGUGCGUAGGCGGCAGUGCAAGUCAGGUGUGAAAUCCCGGGGCUCAACCUGGGAACUGCGUCCGAUACUGGAUGGCUUGAAUCCGGGAGAGGGAUGCAGAAUUCCAGGUGUAGCGGUGAAAUGCGUAGAUAUCUGGAGGAAUACCGGUGGCGAAGGCGGCAUCCUGGACCGGCAUUGACGCUGAGGAGCGAAAGCCAGGGGGGCAAACGGG